rnacentral:rRNA from 1 species
ACAUACGACCACAGCCGCCAGCUGAAAUCGGGAUCCCGUCUGAUCUCCCAAGAUAAUCUGGCGAGCGCUGGAUCAGUAGCUGGAUCGGUGACGACCAGCGAAUCCCCAGUGUUGUAUGUU